GAAUCGAGAAACUACUUUUGGAAGAAAGUCAGGUUUAGUAACCAGCACCACCCUAUCCUGAUGGAACACAGUAUAAGGUUCUUCAGAACUCAAUGCCUGGAUCUCUGAUACUCUUCUGGCCAAUGUAAUAGCUUUUAUGAAUAGAGUUUUCAUGGCAAAAUAAAUUCCUAUUUCUUCUAGUGGCUCAAAUGGUACUUUAAUGAGAGCAUUUAGUACUAGAGGUAAGUCGCAAGGAGGCGCCAACUGUUUGGUAGGUGGUCUAAUCCUCAAAACUGCUCUAAAAAACCUAAUUACGAGAGGAUACAGAGCUCAUCUGGAAUUUGCCAAGGCUGAAAUUGCCGAAACGUGAACUUUCAGAGUGCUCAGACUAAGCCC